GCCUAGUUAGCUUAGUUGGUAGUGUGUUGCCUUGUAAGCGCUAGGCCGUGGGUUCGAUUCCCGCCCGGGGCG
rnacentral:tRNA from 1 species